rnacentral:rRNA from 1 species
GGCGGCGCGCCUAACACAUGCUAGUCGAACGAGAGAGAAGACGCUUGCUUCUUCGAUCGAGUGGCGAACGGGUGAGUAACGCGUGAGGAACCUGCCUCAAAGAGGGGGACAACAGGUGGAAACCACUGCUAAUACCGCAUAAGCCCACGGGUCGGCAUCGACCUGAGGGAAAAGGAACAAUCCGCUUUGAGAUGGCCUCGCGUCCGAUUAGCUAGUUGGUGAGGUAACGGCCCACCCAGGCGACGAUCGGUAGCCGGACUGACAGGUUGAACGGCCACAUUGGGACUGAGACACGGCCCACACUCCUACGGGAGGCAACAGUGGGGAAUAUUGCACAAUGGGGGAAACCCUGAUGCACCGACGCCGCGUGGAGGAAGAAAGUCUUCGGAUUGUCAACUCCUGUUGUUGACGAAGAUAAUGACGGUACUCAACGCGGAAGUGACGGCUAACUACCUGCCAGCAUCCGCGGAAAAACGUACGUCACAAGCGUUGUCCGGAAUUACUGGCUGUAAAGGGAGCGCACGCGGCAAGACCAGUUGGAAGUGAAAUCUAUGGGCUCAACCCCAUAAACUGCUUUCAAAACUGUUUUUCUUGAGUAGUGCAGAGGUAGGGGGGAAUUCCCGGUGUAGCGGUGGAAUGCGUAGAUAUCGGGAGGAACACCAGUGGCGAAGGCGGCCUACUGGGCACCAACUGACGCUGAGGCUCGAAAGUGUGGGUAGCAAACAGGAUUAGAUACCCUGGUAGUCCACACCGUAAACGAUGAUUACUAGGUGUUGGAGGAUUGACCCCUUCAGUGCCGCAGUUAACACAAUAAGUAAUCCACCUGGGGAGUACGACCGCAAGGUUGAAACUCAAAGGAAUUGACGGGGGCCCGCACAAGCAGUGGAGUAUGUGGUUUAAUUCGACGCAACGCGAAGAACCUUACCAAGUCUUGACAUCCCUUGACGAACAUAGAAAUAUGUUUUCUCUUCGGAGCAAGGAGACAGGUGGUGCAUGGUUGUCGUCAGCUCGUGUCGUGAGAUGUUGGGUUAAGUCCCGCAACGAGCGCAACCCUUAUGGUCAGUUACUACGCAAGAGGACUCUGGCCAGACUGCCGUUGACAAAACGGAGGAAGGUGGGGAUGACGUCAAAUCAUCAUGCCCUUUAUGACUUGGGCUACACACGUACUACAAUGGCGUUAAACAAAGAGAAGCAAGACCGCGAGGUGGAGCAAAACUCAGAAACAACGUCCCAGUUCGGACUGCAGGCUGCAACUCGCCUGCACGAAGUCGGAAUUGCUAGUAAUCGCGGAUCAGCAUGCCACGGUGAAUACGUUCCCGGGCCUUGUACACACCGCCCGUCACACCAUGAGAGCCGGGGGGACCCGAAGUCGGUAGUCUAACCGCAAGGAGGACGCCGCCGAAGGUAAAACUGGA